UUAAAAGUUAAAAGUCCAAAAGAGAUCCGCGAGAAAGUGAAAAUUAGAAGUGGAAAACAUUAGGAGGGGCGUUUACGCGUUAACCUGUCUCUCGCCAACGGAGGCAGAGUUGGCCAAGUGUCGCGACGCAAAACGAGAAGGGAUUUGAAUGUUAAGGAUGCUCUUUCUCGAGAUUAGCGAAAUCUUGGAGCCAAACUGUACGACGAUUUUCGGCUCUUAGCAGGCGGCGGUAAUCUACGAGUCAAGUCCGCGAGAAGAGAAGGGAGGAGAAAAGGCUGGAAGACUGCGGAAGAGAGAGAAGACUCUUUGCGCUCUCCGGGAAGUCCGACCAAGUUUCAAACUAACUUCAAGAAUCGAGGCGGCUCUAAUUCUCGACGACUAUUAAUCUCUCCCCGCGCCACGCGACGGCGGAUUGAGAUUCAAACGCGACCAAUACGAGGGGGAAGGAAGGAAAGAAGGAGGGAAAGGGGGAGGCGUAAUUUCGAUGUCAUUUUGAGAAAAACGUCGAUCGUCGAGGUGGAGGAGGAAAAUUGGACUGGCGACGAGUGAAGGUAAACGAGCAUCGGGGAAAGCUAUCGAGGGGUUGGAUUUACGGGGGGAGGAAGAGAGGGUGGAUCUGUUUAAAUGAUAUCGACGCGAAUGAGGUAGCAGGAAGGGAGAAGGAAGGAUAUAUGUAAAUAUCGUAUCUGCGUAAGAGGCGUCUUUCACUCGGUCUCGCUUUUCAUGGAAAUUUCGUAGGGAAAUUGAAAGGCCGCGGACACUUUAUGCUUUAACUUUGAUACAAUGCUUGUAUAUUUAAUCAUCUCUAUAUCGUGUCAAUUAAGAAGUUAAAUUGCUUCGUUCGCGUUAUUUGCUUUUUUUUUUUCCCUCCUCUAUCUUUUUUUUCCCUUUCCCUCUCUCUCUCUCUCUCUCUCUUUCUUCCUCCCUUUCGCUUAACCUCGAACGACGAACGUGAGAACAUGGCUUCGACUAAGAUGGAUUAAUUAUCGAAGACGCCGUGUAAUGAGUCCUCGAACGGGAGGAAGGAGACGAAGAGUCACGGGCGUCGAGCGAAAAAAAAAAGCAAGUCUGGAAAAAAAAAGGAGAGGCAAAGUGACGAAGAGAGAGAGAGAGAAAAAGAGAGACGACGAAGAAGAAACUUCGUUCCUCGUAAAGCAUUCGAAGCUUUACUCGAGCAUUGGAACCCUCGCGGUUCGUUCAAGGAAGAACGACCAGCAGACGGGACCAGUUGAAUUCGUUUAAUUACCCUCAUUAUCCAUUUUAGCUUUGUUCGAUUUAAACCGGGCUCGAGCCAUGCGGAACAUCGUGGUGGAUGGUAAUUAUACCUACAUCGGCCUAUCCGGUUUGCAAUUGGAUCGCAUGCGAUUUCACGGAGAGAUUAUUAUUCCUUUCUUUUUUUUUUCUUCUUUUUUUUUUUUUUUUCGAGAUUAAAACUUCUUUCGCGAAAAUUUGUCCGAAAGUUAAUUCGAAACAGUUAGAUGUAUCGAAACGGUUAUAUUACGUCGUUAAAUUUAUCGAUUGGCUCGUAAACAAAAAUUCGGGGACCUUCGAGAGGAUUUUAAUAAUGGAAAUAAAAUGCGGAGUAAUAUACUGAUUGGCGUGCGAUGAAGUGUAGUUGAAAUAAAUGAAAAUUAAAUUGGAAAAUUAACGGUUUGUAAUUUAAGCAAAUGGAGAUGCGAAAUUAGUGGCCGGUUUAUUAACGUGUCGCUUCUGAACGGAGAGGAAACGAGGGAAGGAGAAUUCUCUUCUCUCUGAAAAGAGAGAGAGAGAGA